rnacentral:rRNA from 1 species
GAGAUGUGGGUUAGUCCGCACGAGCGCACCCUAUCCUUAGUUGCCAGCACAUUAUGGUGGGGACUCUAAGGAGACUGCCUGGGAUAACCAGGAGGAAGGUGGGGAUGAUGUCAAGUCAGUAUGUCCCUUAUGUCCAGGGNCUACACACGUGUUACAAUGGUUGGUACAGAGGGCAGCUAAGCCGCAAGGUGGAGCCAAUCCCCCAAAACCAACCCCAGUUCGGAUUGGAGUCUGCAACUCGACUCCAUGAAGCAGGAAUCGCUAGUAAUCGUGGAUCAGAACGCCACGGUGAAUACGUUCCCGGGUCUUGUACACACCGCCCGUCACGCCAUGGAAGUCAGUAGUACCCGAAUCGAGUGGCCCAACCUUAGGGAGGGAGCUCGUUAAGGUAAGACUGGUAACUGGGGCGAAGUCGUAACAAGGUAGCCGUACCGGAAGGUGCGGCUGGAUCACCUCCUCUU